rnacentral:rRNA from 1 species
GAUGAACGCUGGCGGCGUGCCUAAUACAUGCAAGUCGAGCGAACGGACGAGAAGCUUGCUUCUCUGAUGUUAGCGGCGGACGGGUGAGUAACACGUGGAUAACCUACCUAUAAGACUGGGAUAACUUCGGGAAACCGGAGCUAAUACCGGAUAAUAUUUUGAACCGCAUGGUUCAAAAGUGAAAGACGGUCUUGCUGUCACUUAUAGAUGGAUCCGCGCUGCAUUAGCUAGUUGGUAAGGUAACGGCUUACCAAGGCAACGAUGCAUAGCCGACCUGAGAGGGUGAUCGACCACACUGGAACUGAGCCACGGUCCCGACUCCUACGAGAGGCAGCCGUAGCGAAUCUUCCGCCAUGGGCGACAGCCUGACAGGGCCACACCGCGUGAAUGACUGCAGUGUACGGAUCGGUAGACACUGGUAUUAGGGGAGAACAUGUGUGUGAGUAACUGUGCACAUCUUGACGGUACCUAAUCAGAAAGCCACGGCUAGCUACGGG